CCUAGUGGGAUGCUUCUGCUGUUGAUAGUUUAGACGACAGUAGGGUUACGGACUGCCCCAGAUUGUCCAUUCAGCGGCCAAAAUAUCAUAAUAGAACGGACUUUUGGCAAUAUUACCGACAAAGAAAGGCAGUAAUGACUUGGUUGUGAAUACCCAGAGCACGAUACAUCCAUGCUGACACAAAAAGGCAGUAAUGACUUAGUGGUGAAAACCUAGAGCACGCUACAUCCUUGCUGACAAAGAAAUGCAGUAAUGACUUGGUUGUGAAUACCCAGAGCAUGCUACAUCCAUGCUGACACAGAAAGGCAGUAAUGACUAUGCUGUGAACACCCAGAGCAUGCUACAUCCAUGCUUACACAGAAAGGCAGUAAUGACUAUGCUGUGAACACCCAGAGCAUGCUACAUCCAUGCGGAAACAGAAAGGCAGUCACGACUAUGCUGUGAACACCCAGAGCACAAUAUAUCCAUGCUGACACAGAAAGGCAGUAAUGACUAUGCAGUGAACACCCAGAGCAAGAUAUAUCCAUGCUGACACAGAAAAGCAGUAAUGACUAUGCUGUGAACACCCAGAGCACAAUACAUCAUUUGCUGACACAGAAAGGCAGUAAUGACUUGGCUCUGAACACAGAGCACAAUACAUCCAUGCUGACACAGAAAGGCAGUAAUGACUUGGCUGUGAACACAGAGCAACAUACAUCCGUGCUGACACAGAAAGGCAGUAAUGACUUGGCUGUGAACACAGAGCUUAAUAUAUCCAUGCUGACACAGAAAGGCAGUAAUGACUUGACUGUGAACACAGAGCACAAUACAUCCAUGCUGACACAGAAAGGCAAUUAUGACUUGGUUGUGAACACAGAGCACAAUACAUCCUUGUUGACACAGAAAAGCAGUAAUGACUUUGCUGUGAACUCAGAGUACGAUACAUCAAUGCUGACACAGAAAGGCAGUAAUGACUUGGAUGUAAACACCCAGAGCACAAUACAUCCAUACUGACACAGAAAGACAGUAAAGACUUGGUUGUAAACACCCAGAGCACAAUACAUCCAUGAUGACACAGAAAGGCAGUAAAGACCUUGUUGUAAACACUAAGAGAUCCAUACAUACAUGGGGUGUGCCACAGCCGCAAAUUACGCCAACUAUUGUGAACAAGGUGCUCAAAGUGAACAUGUCUGGGUUUGGUAUGAGGACUUAGCACUCCAAGCCCAGAAGGCCUCGCAUUGAAUUGAUGCAAGAGAAGGCUUUGAAAAAUAUUAGCAGUUUUGUUGUGUGGUCCAGUACGCCCUUCGACUCUCAACCUGAAGAAAGCAGAACUCAAACUCGGCUCUUAGCAAUAUCAAUAAGGCCAGCAUGUCAUCUCCGCUUCUUGAGCUUCAGUGAACUUUACUAGCAAACAUGACAAACGUCAUUGAAAUGAAAGUCGAUGACAACCCCCUUCUUGCACAAAUACUACAACUUGCUGAAGAAAAUCAGCAUGAAGACGUCUUGCGUCAGACUACCAAGCCUCCUAUCAAUAUAUCCUCCCAUGUUGGCUACAUCAACACUUCCAACAGCAGAGCCUUGCUGAAUAAAAGGCUCUCUGGUCAGCUGGACCUGGACGCCAAGGGACACUUCCUGCCCAAGUACCGUGAGGCAAAUGCUCAAUGAGUUCUACCCGAAGUGUGCAGCGUCUCUAGACCUGUGGCUCCAGACUGUCUUACCCAGGGGCCAAGAUUACUUUAUCUGCAAGAGGCCUUAUACUCGCAGGUUCCCCAAAUACAACUCAGCCACAACAUCCUAAUCGGACAACUUGUCAAUCAACAUGGAACAGUACCCAGAAAAUCACGACCAGCUCAUGAACUGUGUAACUGCGCCAAGCGUGACCCUUCAGAGAAAGGGGCUUCCAUGCCGAAGGUCAAAUUGUGGCCGUUGUUCAGUGUCAAGCGAAAUCCUAGCAACCAAGCCACGUCAGCACAGCAGCAAAAACAGUUUCAGCAGCAGUCGUAUACUAAACAUCAACAACAGUGGUGCAUAUGCAUUAAACUACGAGAGUAAACAAGUUGACUGCGUAAUGUGGCAUCAAAGUCUGCAAGGAGAAACCAUGCAAUUGAGGAAGCCAAGAAACCAUGUGAUAAUUUCAAGCAGCUUACCUACUCUUGAAACCCGGAUAGCGAAGCAUUGAGAUUGUUCUGGAAGCAUUUGUAGUCACAGCUCAUUAAGCAUCCCCCUGAAGCAGGACCCUCAGUCUACGGACGCCAAUUGACGAAAUAAAACUUGUCAUUCAGCAACACAGCCAGUUGCAGCAGUUGUUACCAAAUUGACCCCAGUCAAAACUAGGAGCUCAGAGACAAUCAGCAACACAGCCAGUUGCAGCAGUUGUUACCGUAUGGACCCUAGUCAAAACUAGGAGCUCAGAGAUAACACAGCCAGUUGCAGCAGUUGUUACCAUAUUGACCCCAGUCAAAACUAGGAGCUCAGAGACAAUCAGCAACACAGCCAUUUGCAGCAGUUGUUACCAUAUUGACCCCAGUCAAAACUAAGAGCUCAGAGACAAUCAGCAACACAGCCAGUUGCAGCAGUUGUUACCGUAUGACCCCAGUCAAAACUAGGAGCUCAGAGACAAUCAGCAACACAGCCAGUUGCAGCAGUUGUUACCAAAUUGACCCCAGUCAAAACUAGGAGCUCAGAGACAAUCAGCAACACAGCCAGUUGCAGCAGUUGUUUCCGUAUGACCCCAGUCAAAACUAGGAGCUCAGAGAUAACACAGCCAGUUGCAGCAGUUGUUACCGUAUGGACCCCAGUCAAAACAAGGAGCUCAGAGAUAAAUACUGUUUAAGAUAGAUAUUCUCUACAUUCCUCAUGGUCAGCCAACACAGCCAGUUGCAGCAGUUGUUACCAUAUUGACCCCAGUCAAAACUAGGAGCUCAGAGACAAUCAGCAACACAGCCAGUUGCAGCAGUUGUUACAGUAUGACCCCAGUCAAAACUAAGAGCUCAGAGACAAUCAGCAACACAGCCAGUUGCAGCAGUUGUUACAGUAUGACCCCAGUCAAAACUAGGAGCUCAGAGAUAAAUACUGUUUAAGAUAGAUAUUCUCUACAUUCCUCAUGGUAAGGCAACACAGCCAGUUGCAGCAGUUGUUACCAUCUUGACCCCAGUCAAAACUAAGAGCUGAGAGACAAUCAGCAACACAGCCAGUUGCAGCAGUUGUUACCAUUUUGACCCCAGUCAAAACAAGGAGCUCAGAGACAAUCAGCAACACAGCCAUUUGCAGCAGUUGUUACCAUAUUGACCCCAGUCAAAACUAAGAGCUCAGAGACAAUCAGCAACACAGCCAGUUGCAGCAGUUGUUACCGUAUGACCCCAGUCAAAACUAGGAGCUCAGAGACAAUCAGCAACACAGCCAGUUGCAGCAGUUGUUACCAAAUUGACCCCAGUCAAAACUAGGAGCUCAGAGACAAUCAGCAACACAGCCAGUUGCAGCAGUUGUUUCCGUAUGACCCCAGUCAAAACUAGGAGCUCAGAGACAAUCAGCAACACAGCCAGUUGCAGCAGUUGUUACCAUAUUGACCCCAGUCAAAACUAGGAGAUCAGAGACAAUCAGGCAACACAGCCAGUUGCAGCAGUUGUUACCAUAUUGACCCCAGUCAAAACUAAGAGCUCAGAGACAAUCAGCAACACAGCCAGUUGCAGCAGUUGUUACCAUAUUGACCCCAGUCAAAACUAGGAGCUCAGAGACAAUCAGCAACACAGCCAGUUGCAGCAGUUGUUACCGUAUGACCCCAGUCAAAACUAAGAGCUCAGAGACAAUCAGCAACACAGCCAGUUGCAGCAGUUGUUACCAUAUUGACCCCAGUCAAAACUAAGAGCUCAGAGACAAUCAGCAACACAGCCAGUUGCAGCAGUUGUUACCAUAUUGACCCCAGUCAAAACUAGGAGCUCAGAGACAAUCAGCAACACAGCCAGUUGCAGCAGUUGUUACAGUAUGACCCCAGUCAAAGCUAAGAGCUCAGAGACAAUCAGCAACACAGCCAGUUGCAGCAGUUGUUACCGUAUGACCCCAGUCAAAACUAAGAGCUCAGAGACAAUCAGCAACACAGCCAGUUGCAGCAGUUGUUACCAUAUUGACCCCAGUCAAAACAAGGCGCUCAGAGAAAAUCAGCAACACAGCCAGUUGCAGCAGUUGUUACCAAAUUGACCCCAGUCAAAACUAGGAGCUCAGAGACAAUCAGCAACACAGCCAGUUGCAGCAGUUGUUACCGUAUGACCCCAGUCAAAACUAGGAGCUCAGAGAUAAAUACUGUUUAAGAUAGAUAUUCACCUGAUAAUGAUAAAUGCAUGAAAAUUAAAUUGUACUUAAGACAUUAUUUCAUACGUUGAGCUUAAGAAAAUUGAAAGCUGUUUAAAUUAUGCUGGUAACGUUAUAUACAAAAUAUGUAUUGGAUUAUAUUCAUGUAAAAAACAAGUUUCAGUUUUCUGUUGUUACAUGCAAUAUAGAAGUAUUAUCAAGAAUCGUGUUAAGUAUGGCACUAUUCGAAAUGAAUAUUCAUUAAAUAAAGACAAAAUCAUUUAAUCUUCUUUCAAUUGUCAAUUCUGUAUGUACUACUACUACCUUAUUUAUUUGACUUGAUAUGGUUUGUUAAAUUAAAAGAUAAUGCCUCUUUAUUUGGAAAGCUUUCAAUGUUUUGAAACUGAGUAUUUAAAAAUGAAUUAUUAAAAGAAUUAUGAAAAAUCAUGACUUAUGUCAAAGUUAUGUUUGAUUUUGCCAAUUUUGUGUUGAUAUUUAAUAUACAUGUACUUACAUGCUCAUAAGUGUUGACAUUUGUUUUGAACAUAAUAGUUUUUUUAUGUUUUAUAUCGUGUAUAUACACAUUUACAAGUCCAAAUUUUCAUCCUCUCAAUCACUCAGUAACUUUACCAACAAUAAAUGUUGGAUCUCUGUAUAUAGGUAAAUUGUGCAAUUGAUAUAUAGAGCAACUGCAACAAAUCAGUCAGUUACCAAUCAAGGAAGAGUGAUGUAAUAUGCUGGCAAUUGUUAAGUAGUGCAGUUGUCUCAUUUUGUUCUCAGGUUAGAGCAAUGUUGUUUGCUUCAAAAAUAAAAACACAGUCUCCCUUGUAAGAAAAUUAAUGUGUUCACAUCUCAACAUAACAAGUAAAUUCAUAGAGAAAAUCAAAUUAUUUACAUGAUAUACUCGACAAUUAGUCUAAUGGAAAAUUUGUAGAAUAAAAAAUAACAUGUAAUUAUGACGAUUAUAAGUGAAUGUUUGACACAAAAUGUCUCUUCAGAAAUGUGUUUAUUUUAAUGAUAAAUCUAUACAUUGUACUUGCUGUACUUUUUAUAGUAUAUUUUAUGAACGUGCAGCUGAUAAGUGAAUGUGACAAUUUACGAGUUAUGUUACAAUUUGUUACACAUUGACAUGGCCACAUAAGCUGUUAAUGGAGUGCAUUCACUGCGGCCAGUUUCCAGAAAUCUCCCAAUUAAAAAACACCAGAAAAUAUCUUAAGAUCAGAUAGUUUGGUUGUUCACAUUAGUUUUGAUUUAUUUAUUAAUUGUGUUAUGCCUUGUACUCUUAAUUUGUUAUCAAAUAUUUAAGUUUAUAUGACUUGAAGAGACUUACAUGUUUAUUUUAUUGAUGUGUUUGUGUUGAUUUCUUGCAUUCUGAUUAAAGAAUAUUCAAGUGGAAAAAUAAUAUUAUUAUGCAUUGAAAGUGUGUUGUGAUUUCAAAUAAAAAUACUAUGAAAAUAUAGUUCAGUCGUUUGAUUACAAAGUUAUUACAAAGGUGAUCAAUUGCUCAUCAAGUGUAGGUGUUUGCAUACGGACAUAAUAUGUCUGUGCUUUAUAUGUAUAUAAUGUAGAUCCCCAUUUACCAGAACAUACUUUGAUGUGCUUAAAUGUGCUAAUAGCCUGAUGAAAUUCGUGUUGACUAUGCGUUUUACAUUUUGCCAUUUUUAUUUAAAAAAUGAAAAACAAAUGAAUUGUCAGUGUAAAUAAAUACUGUAUUGUUGUUCAAUCAGUUAAACUAUUUCACUGUUUUCAUGCAUAUGUUCAAAUCAUUUUCAUUUUUGUUCAAUUUUUAAGAUGCAACGCUUGUGUAAUUUACUUUAUGAAACUUAUAUAUACACAAAAAUGUAGUACAGAUGUAUAUCAAAUGACUGCUGUGGGCUUGUGGUAAACAGAAAACCAUGCUUUAAAUUGAAAAACCUUGUUAUAUGCCAUGUUUUUCAUUUAAUAAUAUUAAAAGCACUCUUGAAAUUGAACUUCUUGAAAAUAUGUUUCAUUGUUUUGUGAAAAUAUCUUAAGUUAUCUAUUCUAAAUUAUCUAUUCUUAUAUAAGAAAUACAAAUUAAAAUUGGUUAUUGGAAAUAAGUCAAUUAAAAGUCAAGGGAUAAUGAUGUAAUGUACUUAAAAAUGUCAAAACUGCUAUUGUCUCUAUUUGUAUUCUAGAUAUGUUAUAUCCUUAAACAAACAAAUACAAUGUUGUCUCCUUGUUGAAUAGGUGUUGUGUACCUCUGAACAUGUCAAGUCAUUUACUUUAAGUAUUUUAAAUUAGUUCUCACUAUCUGCACCCGUAAGUCACUCAUGAAUUUUGUGUAAUAAACAUUGGAUAAAUAUAUUUUUAUAUAAUCGAUUAUAAGAUAAGGUAAAAAGUGUAUGUGCGUUAUAAGUAAUAAACAUUGGAUAAAUA